GUCAGCACCCCGCACUGAAGUUGCGGGGCUAGGCUACGCCUCGCUGCGCGCCCGUGCCCCCCCCGUUUCAGUUAGCUGACCAGCCUAAGUCUUAAAUGACUACGUUUUUAAGGUCAUAAUACCUACGAAUGCCUCGCUAGUUCGUAGCUCUAUUGUUAACAAUUAAACAGUUUUACGAGGGGUAAGGCAGUGUUGUUAACCUAAUAAGCCUAAAAAACAUUGGCGAAGCGAACUUUAC
ncrna:Cyanothece sp. PCC 7822 HNH endonuclease-associated RNA and ORF (HEARO) RNA